rnacentral:rRNA from 1 species
GACGAACGCUGGCGGCGUGCUUAACACAUGCAAGUCGAACGAAGUGGCGAACGGGUGAGUAACGCGUAAUCAACCUGCCCUUCAGAGGGGGACAACAGUUGGAAACGACUGCUAAUACCGCAUAAUGAAGGAGGGGAUUGCGUCUGAUUAGCUAGUUGGAGGGGUAACGGCCCACCAAGGCGAUGGUCAGUAGCCGGGCUGGGAGGGGGAACGGCCACAUUGGGACUGGGACACGGCCCAGACUCCUAAGGGAGGCAGCAGUGGGGAAUCUUCCGCAAUGGACGAAAGUCGGACGAAGCAACGGCGCGUGAGUGAUGACGGCCUUCGGGUUGGAAAGCUCUGUUAAUCGGGACGCGGUACCGGAAUAGAAAGCCACGGCUAACUACGUGCCAGCAGCCGCGGUAAUUC